CCUACGGGAGGCAGCAGUGAGGAAUAUUGGUCAAUGGACGCAAGUCUGAACCAGCCAUGCCGCGUGCAUGAAGACGGCUCUAUGGGUUGUAAACUGCUUUUGUGCGGGGGUAAAUCGCGAUGCGUAUAUCUUUUUGCACGUAUCUUACGCGUAAGGAUCGGCUAACUCCGUGCCAGCAGCCGCGGUAAGACGGAGGAUUCAAGCGUUGUGCGGAUUUAUUGGGUGUAAAGGGUGCGUAGGCGGUUCGUUAAGUUAGAGGUGAAAUCCCCGGGCUCAACUCCGGCACUGCCUCUGAUACUGGCGGGCUAGAGUGUAGUUGCGGUAGGCGGAAUGUAUGGUGUAGCGGUGAAAUGCAUAGAGAUCAUACAGAACACCGAUUGCGAAGGCAGCUUACCAAACUACGACUGACGUUGAGGUACGAAAGCGUGGGGAGCAAACAGGAUUAGAUACCCGAGUAGUC
rnacentral:rRNA from 1 species